CCUACGGGUGGCAGCAGUGGGGAAUAUUGCGCAAUGGGCGAAAGCCUGACGCAGCGACGCCGCGUGAGGGAUGAAGGUCUUCGGAUCGUAAACCUCUGUUAGCAGGGAAGUACGGUCACUGUGCUAAUCAGCAGUGAAUUGACGGUAUCUGCAAAGGAAGCACCGGCUAACUCCGUGCCAGCAGCCGCGGUAAUACGGAGGGUGCGAGCGUUAAUCGGAAUUACUGGGCGUAAAGCGCUCGUAGGCGGUAUGUCAAGUCAAGGGUGAAAGCCCCGGGCUCAACGUGGGAACUGCCUUUGAAACUGGCAAACUGGAGUGUGUGAGAGGAUAGUGGAAUUCCAGGUGUAGGAGUGAAAUCCGUAGAUAUCUGGAGGAACAUCGGUGGCGAAGGCGACUAUCUGGCACAUAACUGACGCUGAGGAGCGAAAGCGUGGGUAGCAAACAGGAUUAGAUACCCGAGUAGUC
rnacentral:rRNA from 1 species